UCUAGCAUAGGCGCGUCAUUGCGCUUUCACGCAGACAGACAGGCAGAAGAUAGGUGCCCAGACAGACACGUGCGCUGGGAUCUGGAGAUAAUACGUGAUAGAAUUUGCUUCUGUCGGUCCUUUUGGCUUGUAGGGAGGAGGCAUGAAGGGCCCAUGUGUUCGAGUGUUUGUGACUUUGGCUUCGGCGACCGCCUUCUUGCAGUUCCUCUCGCCCGCCAUCGCCGCCCAGGAUGACACGCCUGCAGUCAUUCCGAGCGAUUCCGGGAGGAGCUGCGCGGGCGAGGGCUGCCUCCGACGCCCUUUGUCUGUCGCUUCCGAGUUUCCUUCGUCGAUCUCUGAGCCUGUGAAACGAACGGGAAGUGAGACGGAGAGAAAGAUAGAGGAGGAGAAGAAGGGAGAGA